AUUGAACGCUGGCGGCAUGCCUUACACGUGCAAGUCGAACGGCAGCGCGGACUUCGGUCUGGCGGCGAGUGGCGAACGGGUGAGUAAUACAUCGGAACGUACCCUGUUGUGGGGGAUAACUAGUCGAAAGAUUAGCUGAUACCGCAUACGACCUGAGGGUGAAAGUGGGGGACCGCAAGGCCUCACGCAGCAGGAGCGGCCGAUGUCUGAUUAGCUAGUUGGUGGGGUAAAGGCCCACCAAGGCGACGAUCAGUAGCUGGUCUGAGAGGACGAUCAGCCACACUGGGACUGAGACACGGCCCAGACUCCUACGGGAGGCAGCAGUGGGGAAUUUUGGACAAUGGGGGCAACCCUGAUCCAGCAAUGCCGCGUGUGUGAAGAAGGCCUUCGGGUUGUAAAGCACUUUUGUCCGGAAAGAAAUCGCGCUGGUUAAUACCUGGCGUGGAUGACGGUACCGGAAGAAUAAGCACCGGCUAACUACGUGCCAGCAGCCGCCGUAA
rnacentral:rRNA from 1 species